rnacentral:rRNA from 1 species
UCGUGGAGUGAUCUGUCUGCUUAAUUGCGUUUCACAAAGGACUGUGUUUACUUUUUGCCUGAUGCGCUGGUCUGCACUUGAUUGUGUGUGACCAUGUCGCACGGUAAGGUACCAAGUCCUGAAGGCAACGAACGUGACCGCAACCUCUUGUUGCCUCCUUUUGCCUCACGGCAACAUGAGUUACAGUCUUUGGGAGUCAAAUCCCUUGCUGUGCU